rnacentral:rRNA from 1 species
GGAGGGGGCCAGCGUUGUUCGGAAUUAUUGGGCGUAAAGGGCGCGUAGGCGGCCAAGCAAGUCGGAGGUGAAAUCCCUCGGCUCAACCGAGGAAUUGCCUCCGAUACUGCAUGGCUUGAGUCCCGGAGAGGGUAGCGGAAUUCCCAGUGUAGCGGUGAAAUGCGUAGAUAUUGGGAGGAACACCAGUGGCGAAGGCGGCUACCUGGACGGGUACUGACGCUGAGGCGCGAAAGCGUGGGUAGCAAACAGGAUUAGAUACCCUGGUAGUCCACGCUGUAAACGAUGGGCACUCGGUGUUGCGGGUAUCGACCCCCUGCAGUGCCGAAGCUAACGCAUUAAGUGCCCCCGCCUGGGGAGUACGGUCGCAAGGCUG